UACGAAGGGUGCAAGCGUUGUUCGGAAUUAUUGGGCGUAAAGAGCUUGUAGGCGGUUUGUCGCGUCUGCUGUGAAAAUCCGGGGCUCAACCCCGGACUUGCAGUGGGUACGGGCAGACUAGAGUGUGGUAGGGGAGACUGGAAUUCCUGGUGUAGCGGUGAAAUGCGCAGAUAUCAGGAGGAACACCGAUGGCGAAGGCAGGUCUCUGGGCCACUACUGACGCUGAGAAGCGAAAGCAUGGGGAGCGAACAGG
rnacentral:rRNA from 1 species